GUGGGGAAUAUUGGACAAUGGGCGAAAGCCUGAUCCAGCCAUGCCGCGUGUGUGAAGAAGGUCUUCGGAUUGUAAAGCACUUUAAGUUGGGAGGAAGGGCAGUAAGUUAAUACCUUGCUGUUUUGACGUUACCGACAGAAUAAGCACCGGCUAACUUCGUGUCAGCAGCCGCGGUAAUACGAAGGGUGCAAGCGUUAAUCGGAAUUACUGGGCGUAAGCGCGCGUAGGUGGUUUUGUAAGUUGGAGGUGAAAUCCCCGGGCUCAACCUGGGAACUGCCUCCAAAACUGCAUGACUAGAGUACGGUAGAGGGUAGUGGAAUUUCCUGUGUAGCGGUGAAAUGCGUAGAUAUAGGAAGGAACACCAGUGGCGAAGGCGACUACCUGGACUGAUACUGACACUGAGGUGCGAAAGCGUGGGGAGCAAACAGGAUUAGAAACCCCGGUAGUCC
rnacentral:rRNA from 1 species